GUGUUCCCUUCAGCAGCACAUACACUAAAACUGGAAUGAUACAGAGGAGAUUCGCAUGGCCUCUGUGCAAGGAUGACACGCAAAUUUGAUAAGCAUUCCAUAUUUUG
ensembl:snRNA U6 U6 spliceosomal RNA